rnacentral:rRNA from 1 species
CUACGGGUUGCAGCAGUGAGGAAUAUUGCGCAAUGGGGGAAACCCUGACGCAGCGACGCCGCGUGGAUGAUGAAGGCCUUAGGGUCGUAAAAUCCUGUCAGGUGGGAAGAAGUGGAUAUAGAUUAAUACUCUAUUUCUUUGACGGUACCACCAAAGGAAGCACCGGCUAACUCCGUGCCAGCAGCCGCGGUAAUACGGAGGGUGCAAGCGUUGUCCGGAUUCACUGGGCGUAAAGCGCGCGUAGGCGGCUAUUUAAGUCAUCUGUGAAAGCCCGGGGCUCAACUCCGGGACUGCAGGCGAAACUGAAUGGCUAGAGCUCGGUAGAGGCGAGUAGAAUUCCCGGUGUAGCGGUGGAAUGCGUAGAUAUCGGGAAGAAUACCAGUGGCGAAGGCGGCUCGCUGGGCCGAAGCUGACGCUGAGGUGCGAAAGCGUGGGGAGCAAACAGGAUUAGAUACCCGCGUAGUC